ACUGCUCAGUAACACGUGGACAACCUGCCCUUAGGUUGGGUAUAAACCCGGGAAACUGGGUAUAAUACCCGAUAGGUCUCGAUUGCUGGAAUGCAUCGAGAUUUAAAGCUCCGGCGCCUAAGGAUGGGUCUGCGGCCUAUCAGGUAGUAGUGGGUGUAGCGUACCUACUAGCCUACGACGGGUACGGGUUGUGAGAGCAAGAGCCCGGAGAUGGAUUCUGAGACACGAAUCCAGGCCCUACGGGGUGCAGCAGGCGCGAAAACUUUACAAUGCUGGCAACAGCGAUAAGGGAACCUCGAGUGCCAGGUUACAAAUCUGGCUGUCGAGAUGCCUAAAAAGCAUUUCAUAGCAAGGGCCGGGCAAGACCGGUGCCAGCCGCUGCGGUAACACCGGCGGCUCGAGUGGUAACCGUUAUUAUUGGGUCUAAAGGGUCUGUAGCCGGCCGGAUAAGUCUCUUGAGAAAUCUGGCAGCUUAACUGUCAGGCUUUCAGGAGAUACUGUCUGGCUCGAGGCCGGGAGAGGUGAGAGGUACUUCAGGGGUAGGGGUGAAAUCUUGUAAUCCUUGAAGGACCACCAGUGGCGAAGGCGUCUCACCAGAACGGACCUGACGGCAAGGGACGAAAGCUAGGGGCACGAACCGGAUUAGAUACCCGGGUAGUCCUAGCCGUAAACGAUACUCGCUAGGUGUCGGCCACGGUGCGACCGUUGUCGGUGCCGUAGGGAAGCCGUGAAGCGAGCCACCUGGGAAGUACGGCCGCAAGGCUGAAACUUAAAGGAAUUGGCGGGGGAGCAC
rnacentral:rRNA from 1 species